GGUUGACCUCAGAUCA
rnacentral:rRNA from 1 species